UGUUCUCAGGUGAAUCUUGAUUUUCACUAAUGAAGAGGUCUGUGGCUGAUGCAGACAGGUUCCCUCUUCAUCUGACCUGCAGAUUCAUUAAUGCUCAGGACCUGAAUGUCAGAACAUCACACACAGAGACGGCAGAAGCUCAGCCACCGCCACCGCCAGAUCAGCAGAAAAACACAAGCUGAUGUUCUGGUGGUGUUCAGUGAUGUCUGGCGUCAGUUCUGAAUGAUUGAUCAGGUUCUGCUGGUACUGAAGCUUCUGUUCACCUGCAUCAGUGAUGAGGGCCGUGGCGCAGCAGCAGUGCAGCAAAGGUCUGCUCCUGAUGUUCAUGUUCAGAAGCGUGAGCACGAGCCAUGUCCACACGUACUGGGGCACGUUCCCGUGAAAGAGUGCCACGAUCUGACCUGAGUGCACGACCUGAGUACAUUCAGCACUCUGUUACUGAGCCGGUCAGCACAUGGCACCUCGACACACAGGCCUCUGGAGUUUCUGACCGGCUCGUCGUGCUCCGUGUCGUACUGAAUGAUGGCGUAGGGGAACAGUUUCUGUGCGACGAGAGAAAAACACACUGAUAAUCAGAGUUUUCAGCGGAAGGACAGCGAGAGUCACGUGAUUCCAGUCCUACAGCCUUACUUUGUGC